UACGAAGGGGGCUAGCGUUGUUCGGAAUUAUUGGGCGUAAAGCGCACGUAGGCGGAUAUUUAAGUCGGGGGUGAAAUCCCGGGGCUCAACCCCGGAACUGCCUUCGAUACUGGGUAUCUUGAGUUCGGAAGAGGUGAGUGGAAUUGCGAGUGUAGAGGUGAAAUUCGUAGAUAUUCGCAGGAACACCAGUGGCGAAGGCGGCUCACUGGUCCGAUACUGACGCUGAGGUGCGAAAGCGUGGGGAGCAAACAGG
rnacentral:rRNA from 1 species